GGGGAGGUCGGACCAUCGUCUCCAUCUGACAGGUGGAGGCAAUGAGGCAUGAACGAGUGAUGGAUGGGCCCCAAUCGGGACUCCAGCGCCAAGCCUGAGCUCAGCAUCUGCCUGGCGUGUUGUUUAUGUGUUUUGUCUCUGAGGUCUUGGGGUCUGGGUUCAGAUCUGGCUCUGCCACCUGUUUGCUCUGUGACCUUGUGCAGGUUCCUUAACCUCUCUGAGUCUUGGUUUAUACAUCUGUGAAAUGAGAGGAUUCAAGUGACCAACUUCGAGUGCUUGGCCCGUCGAGGGAGCAUUCCGUGAUGGAGCCUCUUCUUUUGUCGGUUGGUUCUGCUUUGACACGCACUUCUGCUGAUUGCCAAGGGGAUGGUUCUGGGAACUUCCAUAUGCUGCAAGUAUGGCCCUAAGAAGCAAAACAAAAGAAAACAAAAAGCAUCUUCUCUUGUGAUGAGAAGGGCUCUUGACAGAGUCGGGCUCUGACCCCUGAGUCUGAAGAGAGUGGGCCAUCCCAUUCUUAGAAAAAUCAGAAUCCCAAGGUUAGAAAUCUGCAUCAUUUUUUUGAUACGUUCUUAUUUUGCAAAAAGUAAAAUGCUUCCCACUGGAAGGGCCAGGUGAGUCUUUACUGCAAAAAAAAAAAAAAAAAAGAGGACUACAGCCAACUAAACUGUUACUACCAUUAUGAUUAUAAAUCGGACAGCAUAUGCCCAUAACUCAGUCGCAGUUGUGUAUGUGGCACAUCACAGUGAAUGCAUCUUUUUAAAAAACAUUUACUCAUUUGGGCAGGCCCUGGGCUGUGUGUGUGUAUGUGUGUGUGUGGUGGCUUGUGUAAGUGUCGGAGGCACUUAAUUAUUGGGGAAACACAAACCCUUGGUAGAGAGCCUGUUGGUAAAUGCUGCUGAUGCCACAUAUCCACUGGGUCCAUCCGAUGCUGGAAAGACGUCUGAUUUCAAAAGCCUCCAUGCUUUUCCUCUGCCCCUCAGAUGGUGGGACAUGCGCUGGGCUUGUCAGGGGCAUGACGUGAGGCUCCUGAACAGACCUGGGGACCGUGGCUUCCUUCCUGACAUGCAACCAGGUUUUGGGUGUUUGCUGGGAUUCCCGAGCUGGCCCUGCUGGGCAGGGGAUGGGUGCAGUGGGAGGCUGGGGUGAGGCUGGCGUGCAGCAGAUGCCUUGGCUUGGUCCUCUGUGGUCCACUGCUGUGGGUGGGAGGGGUGCAGACAGGUGUAUGGACCUAAGACCCAGCUGUGGAAGGCAGGCCACCCUGGGAUUGCGUCCUGGCUCUGCCUCUCGCUGCCUGUGUGACCUGGGACAGGCCGCUUAACCUCCCCGUUCCCCCAUUUCCUCGUCUAUAACAUGAGGAUCAUGGACACCUCUCUCCUGGGGCUAAGGUGGAGAUGAAAUGACAAAACACAUAAAAGGUUCACAACUCCAGGUGGUUGUAAGUACCCAACGAAUAUGAGCAAUUUGGUCGAAUUCCUCUUUAUUCGAGAGUAAUUUGACAAGAUUCCCAGAAGCUCAAGUCAUCUGGUUUGAUCCUAGAGUCCAUUCACAAGUCUCUUCCACGAAGGUCCCCCUUUCCUUGAAUGCCUCCCCUGAUGAGGAGCUCACUGCACGCUGCCAUCACCAUCAUCAACAGUUUUCUGGGACCCAGUUUCCAAGCUCUGUACUUUUUGGCAGUUCUUUCCCAAUACCAAGACUUUGCUGACUUCCUCUUCGGGGAGAGGCCCCAGAAGGGUCCACCGCUGCCACCCACUGGGUGCUCAGCAGGUGCCAAGUACUGUACAUAUAUCAUCACAUCCACCCUCCCAAGUCCUAAGGGGAAGGUGUUAUUCUGCCCCCAUUUUAGCGAUGAGGAAACAGAGGGCCAGAGGGUUGACUUGGUUGAGGGUGACAUGGGUCUAGGGGGUGGGCUGGGGCUGAGAUCAGGUCUGUCUGAUGCCAAAACCCUGACAUCUUAACUGUUAUCCUUUCCAAGCGAGCUCAACACCAACCGAGGAUUCUUUGGUCUUUUCCUUGCUUCUUCCCUCUCCAUCUCGGUCAGCCUACUUCCUUGCAAGGGCUUCCUCCCGUCCAGGUUUCAGGUGCACGAUUUGGGGAGGGGGCGCAGCGUUGUUACCUUUAGCGACCUGUCAUCUAUCCAGUCCCUCGCAGUGCCAUUAAGCUGGCAGGAUAACUUCUGUCUGCGGGGGACAGAAGCCUCUCACCGAUGUUGUAUAGUCUCUUCAAUUAAUAAAAGUCAUAAUCUGCUAAACCGGUUAUUGUAAUUUAUCCACAUAAAGCAGAACCGUGUGCCUGAAUUGUCAGUCGAGCCUCAAACCAGUAGAAAAUAGUCGGCAAUUACCAGAGGCUCGGCGAGCAGGGCGGCUGCAGUCCUGUGGUCUUCAAAUUAGGAGAAAUAAUGAAUGCAUCCCGAACACAUCCAUUUCAGCAAGUGCUGCAUGGAUUAUAAAAUUUAUUACCAAUAAAAUUAUUCAUUUGUGCCCUAUACCACACUUAAUGCACCUGAAGUGAGAAAUUAGAAGUGUGUUUAAUUCUGGGGAUGGAAGAAAAUACAAGUGCAGCAAAUUUGCGGUAAUAGGAGAAAGUUAAUGCCGGGCGAAAAGGAAUCAAUUUAGCUCUUGCUAUUCUAUUUGAGGAGAACAGGUUGGUUUUUCUUAUAAAACAUACAGAUUGGAUCCCUGGUUUUAGUAUUGCUUUCAAAGGAUAUUUAAAGAGACGUUAUGAAUUAAGGGGAAUAUGAGACCAUGAAAAAAGUGUGCGUGUCCCCUCUCUCCAUAUAUAUAUAUCUAUAUAUAAAAUACACAUAUGUACAUGCAUAUCGAUAUCUGUGUGUCUGUAUAUUUCCCCAUCCAUUUGGACACAGACACACACACAGUGGUGUGAUAUGCUGGUAAAUAUUUAACAACAAACUGUCUGCAAAAAAAAAAAAAAAA
rnacentral:lncRNA from 1 species